AAUAGCAUUAUUAUUGUUGUUGUGAGCUUUUGUGGGCAUGCACACUUCUUCAGAUCUUCGGUAUCUGAAGAAGUGUGCAUGCACACGAAAGCUCAUACCAAUAACAAACUUAGUUGG